UCCGGUUUGGCACCGGCAGUCUCCCUAGAGUUCCCGGCAUUAUCCGCUGGCAACUAAGGACAGGGGUUGCGCUCGUUGCGCCACUUAAGGCAACACCUCACGGCACGAGCUGACGACAGCCAUGCACCACCUGUGCAGGCUCCGAAGAGCGCCCGCUUUCACGGGUUUCACCCUGCAUGUCAAGCCCAGGUAAGGUGGGGAUGACGUGCUUGCUAGGUAA
rnacentral:misc_RNA from 1 species